rnacentral:rRNA from 1 species
CCUACGGGUGGCAGCAGUGUGGAAUAUUGGUCAAUGGGCGCGAGCCUGCACCAGCCACGUAGCGUGAAGGAUGACUGCCCUACGGGUUGUAAACUUCUUUUAUAAAGGAAUCAAGUGAGGCACGUGUGCCUUUUUGUAUGUACUUUAUGAAUAAUGAUCGGCUAACUCCGUUCCAGCAGCCGCGGUACUACGGAGGAUCCGAGCGUUCUCCGGAUUUAUUUGGUUUAACGGGAGCGUAGAUGGGUUGUUAAGUCAGUUUUGAAAGUUUGCGGCUCAACCGUAAAAUUGCAAUUGAUACUGGCAGCCUUGAGUACAGUUGAGGUAGGCGGAAUGCGUGGUGUAGCGGUGAAAUGCUUAGAUAUCACGAAGAACUCCGAUGGCGAAGGCAGCCUACUAAACUGCCACUGACAUUGAUGCUCGAAAGUGUGGGUAUCAAACAGGAUUAGAUACCCGGGUAGUC